UGGUAUGGGAUCGACCCAUGUCCUAUCAGCUUGUUGGUGGGGUAACGGCCUACCAAGGCAUCGACGGGUAGUCGGCGUGAGAGCGCGACCGGCCACAUCGGGACUGAGACACUGCCCGGACACCUACGGGUGGCUGCAGCAACGAAUAUUCCGCAAUGGGCGCAAGCCUGACGGAGCGACGCCGCGUGGAGGAUGAAGUCCUUCGGGAUGUAAACUCCAAUAGUUUGUCAGGAAGUGAGCGGGCCUAAUACGCCCGUGAGUUGACCAUCAGGAAUAAGCAUCGGCUAACUCCGUGCCAGCAGCCGCGGUAAUACGGAGGAUGCAAGCGUUAUUCGGAAUUAUUGGGUUUAAAGGGUGCGUAGGCGGGACUUUAAGUCAGUGGUGAAAUCCUGCGGCUUAACCGCAGAACUGCCAUUGAAACUAUUGUUCUUGAGUUCAGUUGAGGCAGGCGGAAUGUGUAAUGUAGCGGUGAAAUGCAUAGAUAUUACACAGAACACCGAUUGCGAAGGCAGCUUGCUAAACUGACACUGACGCUGAUUCACGAAAGCGUGGGGAGCGAACAGGAUUAGAUACCCUGGUAGUCCACGCCGUAAACGAUGCUCACUGGUUGUUGGCGCUACAUUGUCAGCGACUGAGGGAAACCAUUAAGUGAGCCACCUGGGGAGUACGUCGGCAACGAUGAAACUCAAAGGAAUUGACGGGGGCCCGCACAAGCGGUAGAACAUGUGGUUUAAUUCGAUGAUACGCGAGGAACCUUACCUGGGCUUAAAUGCAGCAACACUUCGGUGUUAGAUCAAGAGAUUGACCUUAAAGUUUCAAGGUGCUGCAUGGCUGUCGUCAGCCCGUGCCGUGAGGUGUCGGGUUAAGUCCCAUAACGAGCGCAACCCCUAUCAUUAGUUGCCAGCGGGUAAUGCCGGGGACUCUAAUGAGACUGCCGUCGUAAGGCGAGAGGAAGGUGGGGAUGACGUCAAGUCAGCACGGCCCUUAUGUCCGGGGCUACACACGUGUUACAAUGGCCAGUACAGAGAGCUGCCACCUGGCGACAGGGAGCUAAUCUUCAAAAGCCAGUCUCAGUUCGGAUUGAAGUCUGCAACUCGACUUCAUGAAGCUGGAAUCGCUAGUAAUCGCGCAUCAGCAACGGCGCGGUGAUACGUUCCCGGGCCUUGCACACACCGCCCGUCAAGCCAUGGAAGCACGGGGGUACACUGAAGUCCGUAACCGCAAGGAGCGGCACGAGGGUAAAACUGGUGACUGGGGCUAAGU
rnacentral:rRNA from 1 species